rnacentral:rRNA from 1 species
UGGGGAAUAUUGGACAAUGGGGGCAACCCUGAUCCAGCAAUGCCGCGUGAGUGAUGAAGGCCCUAGGGUUGUAAAGCUCUUUCGCACGCGACGAUGAUGACGGUAGCGUGAGAAGAAGCCCCGGCUAACUUCGUGCCAGCAGCCGCGGUAAUACGAAGGGGGCUAGCGUUGUUCGGAAUUACUGGGCGUAAAGGGCGCGCAGGCGGUCUUCCAAGUCAGAUGUGAAAGCCCCGGGCUCAACCUGGGAACUGCAUUUGAGACUGGAGGACUUGAGUUCGGGAGAGGAGAGCGGAAUUCCCAGUGUAGAGGUGAAAUUCGUAGAUAUUGGGAAGAACACCGGUGGCGAAGGCGGCUCUCUGGACCGAUACUGACGCUGAGGCGCGAAAGCGUGGGGAGCAAACAG